CGUAGGGGCCGAGCGUUGUCCGGAGUUAUUGGGCGUAAAGCGCGCGCAGGCGGCCUCGCGCGCCCGACGUGAAAGCCCCCGGCUUAACCGGGGAGGGUCGUUGGGGACGGCGGGGCUUGAGGGCGGGAGAGGGUGGUGGAAUUCCCGGUGUAGUGGUGAAAUGCGUAGAGAUCGGGAGGAACACCCGUGGCGAAGGCGGCCACCUGGGCCGACCCUGACGCUGAGGCGCGAAGGCGUGGGGAGCGAACGGG
rnacentral:rRNA from 1 species